UGGGGAAUUUUGCGCAAUGGGGGCAACCCUGACGCAGCAACGCCGCGUGCGGGACGACGGCCUUCGGGUUGUAAACCGCUUUCAGCAGGGAAGAAAUUCGACGGUACCUGCAGAAGAAGCUCCGGCUAACUACGUGCCAGCAGCCGCGGUAAUACGUAGGGAGCGAGCGUUAUCCGGAUUCAUUGGGCGUAAAGAGCGCGUAGGCGGCCUCUCAAGCGGGAUCUCUAAUCCGAGGGCUCAACCCCCGGCCGGAUCCCGAACUGGGAGGCUCGAGUUCGGUAGAGGCAGGCGGAAUGCCCGGUGGAGCGGUGGGAUGCGCAGAUAUCGGGAAGAACACCGAUGGCGAAGGCAGCCUGCUGGGCCGCAACUGACGCUGCGGCGCGAAAGCUAGGGGAGCGAACAGG
rnacentral:rRNA from 1 species